AAGACCUAAAGUCUCACUUCCACUCCGAGGAGCGUGAACAGCCGAAAGGACCUUCACAAUGCUGAGUCCUUUAGCCAUCGCAUGCAAGACCCAGGGCCUUACUUCCGGGAGCCUUGAACAGCCCAGAGGGCCCCAAGAUGCUGGGAUCUAUAGCUCAGCGAGGCUCCGGGAGCUCGAUGGAGGAACGAGAGUCAUCCAGGAAGGAACACGCCAGGCUUGUUGGCAACAUGGAUGAGUUGCAAAAGCAUUAUGCUAUGUGAAAGAAGCCAAGCCUAAAGGGUAAUGUGCUGCAUGAGUCCACUGAAAUGAAAUUCUACAAAAAGAUUCUAAAAUGCAUUGUCUCCCAGUUGCUGGCUGAAGGUCCAUCCGUGUGCACAGCCAUAUGUGUUUACUCUGCAUUUCUUCCAAGAUUUUGUAAGUCUCUGAGGUAGGAGUCAAGACAACCAACCCACGUUCUGAAUACAGAUGUCCUUUGAGCAAUUAAAAUCCGAGCAAGGAGUUGCUUCAGAGCAGAGGAAUUGUCUUCUCUGCUUUCUUAAAGCAAGGACUGAACCGAGUAGAGGCAGGGAGAAGUCAGGGGUUUGGCAGUGGUCUGUGGCCAGGGGAUUUUCUCAGGAGAAACCCUCAGGAGUCACAGGGUGGUGGUUUUGUAAAACGGAGACUUAGUGAUUAUGUAAAGGAAAGGU